rnacentral:ncRNA from 1 species
CUUAUCAAGAGUGGCUGAGGAACAGGUCCUGUGAAGCCCGGCAACCUGGCGCAGCAUUUUGUGCAAUGCGCCGAUGGUGCCAAGUCCUGCGGUAUGACCGAGAGAUGAGG